GACGAACGCUGGCGGCGUGCCUAAUACAUGCAAGUCGAACGAGAGCGACCGAUGCUUGCACUGGUCAAUCUAGUGGCGAACGGGUGAGUAACACGUGGGUAACCUGCCCAUCAGAGGGGGAUAACAUCCGGAAACGGAUGCUAAAACCGCAUAGGUCUUCGAACCGCAUGGUUUGAAGAGGAAAAGAGGCGCAAGCUUCUGCUGAUGGAUGGACCCGCGGUGCAUUAGCUAGUUGGUGAGGUAACGGCUCACCAAGGCCGUGAUGCAUAGCCGACCUGAGAGGGUGAUCGGCCACAUUGGGACUGAGACACGGCCCAAACUCCUACGGGAGGCAGCAGUAGGGAAUCUUCCGCAAUGGACGCAAGUCUGACGGAGCAACGCCGCGUGAGUGAAGAAGGUGUUCGGAUCGUAAAACUCUGUUGUUAGAGAAGAACAAGUGCUAGAGUAACUGUUAGCGCCUUGACGGUAUCUAACCAGAAAGCCACGGCUAACUACGUG
rnacentral:rRNA from 1 species